rnacentral:rRNA from 1 species
UACAGAGGUGGCAAGCGUUGUUCGGAAUUACUGGGCGUAAAGGGCGCGUAGGCGGCCUUCUAAGUCAGACGUGAAAUCCCCCGGCUUAACCUGGGAACUGCGUCUGAUACUGGAGGGCUUGAGUAUGGGAGAGGGAUGUAGAAUUCCAGGUGUAGCGGUGAAAUGCGUAGAUAUCGAGAGGAACACCUGUGGCGAAGGCGGCCAACUGGACGAGUACUGACACUGAGACACGAAAGCGUGGGGAGCAAACAGG